UACGUAGGGGGCAAGCGUUGUCCGGAAUUAUUGGGCGUAAAGGGCUCGUAGGCGGUUUGUCGCGUCGGGAGUGAAAUCCACUGGCUUAACUGGUGGCUUGCUUUCGAUACGGGCGGACUGGAGGUAUGCAGGGGAGAACGGAAUUCCUGGUGUAGCGGUGAAAUGCGCAGAUAUCAGGAGGAACACCGGUGGCGAAGGCGGUUCUCUGGGCAUGUCCUGACGCUGAGGAGCGAAAGUGUGGGGAGCGAACAGG
rnacentral:rRNA from 1 species